GUUAUUUUGGCAGAAUAGUGUGAUAGAUUUAGAAUCUAUUUAAGUAAAUUUUAUUUACAUAUAACA
rnacentral:tRNA from 1 species